UUGUAAGGCCACAUUCUCAGGUUUCUAUUCUCCCCCACUUAGGAUUAUUUGUACACAAAUAAAGGGUAAAGCAAGUGUAAACACAAGUUAUAACAUCACCAUGCAUCAAACCAACCAUUACAAAAGGUAGAACCAGAACAUAACAAGGAUACAUCAUAACACAUAUUGUGACCAUCAUCAAUCAACCUUUUUAUUUCAUUGGUUUUGGGACUUCAACCAUUACUUAUUUAACACUUGCUCAUUCCACAACUUAGGGACUCCAGCCAAUCAAUUCAUCAAAGAUAUAGAGC
rnacentral:lncRNA from 1 species